rnacentral:rRNA from 1 species
GACGAACGCUGGCGGCGUGCCUAAUACAUGCAAGUAGAACGCUGAGGGAGGAGCUUGCUUCUCCGGAUGAGUUGCGAACGGGUGAGUAACGCGUAGGUAACCUGCCUGGUAGCGGGGGAUAACUAUUGGAAACGAUAGCUAAUACCGCAUAACAGUAGAUGUUGCAUGACAUUUGCUUAAAAGGUGCAAUUGCAUCACUACCAGAUGGACCUGCGUUGUAUUAGCUAGUUGGUGAGGUAACGGCUCACCAAGGCGACGAUACAUAGCCGACCUGAGAGGGUGAUCGGCCACACUGGGACUGAGACACGGCCCAGACUCCUACGGGAGGCAGCAGUAGGGAAUCUUCGGCAAUGGACGGAAGUCUGACCGAGCAACGCCGCGUGAGUGAAGAAGGUUUUCGGAUCGUAAAGCUCUGUUGUAAGAGAAGAACGAGUGUGAGAGUGGAAAGUUCACACUGUGACGGUAUCUUACCAGAAAGGGACGGCUAACUACGUG